UGGGGAAUAUUGCACAAUGGGGGAAACCCUGAUGCAGCGACGCCGCGUGAGCGAUGAAGUAUUUCGGUAUGUAAAGCUCUAUCAGCAGGGAAGAUAAUGACGGUACCUGACUAAGAAGCUCCGGCUAAAUACGUGCCAGCAGCCGCGGUAAUACGUAUGGAGCAAGCGUUAUCCGGAUUUACUGGAUGUAAAGGGAGCGUAGGCGGUCCUGCAAGUCUGAUGUGAAAACCCGGGGCUCAACCCCGGGACUGCAUUGGAAACUGUAGGACUAGAGUGUCGGAGGGGUAAGUGGAAUUCCUAGUGUAGCGGUGAAAUGCGUAGAUAUUAGGAGGAACACCAGUGGCGAAGGCGGCUUACUGGACGACCACUGACGCUGAGGCUCGAAAGCGUGGGGAGCAAACAGG
rnacentral:rRNA from 1 species